rnacentral:rRNA from 1 species
UUUGGAUGAAAAAAAAAAAAAUAACAAGGUUUCCGUAGGUGAACCUGCGGAAGGAUCAUUACAGUAUUCUUUUUGCCAGCGCUUAAUUGCGCGGCGAAAAAACCUUACACACAGUGUUUUUUGUUAUUACAAGAACUCUUGCUUUGGUCUGGACUAGAAAUAGUUUGGGCCAGAGGUUUACUAAACUAAACUUCAAUAUUUAUAUUGAAUUGUUAUUUAUUUUAAUUGUCAAUUUGUUGAUUAAAUUCAAAAAAUCUUCAAAACUUUCAACAACGGAUCUCUUGGUUCUCGCAUCGAUGAAGAACGCAGCGAAAUGCGAUAAGUAAUAUGAAUUGCAGAUUUUCGUGAAUCAUCGAAUCUUUGAACGCACAUUGCGCCCUUUGGUAUUCCAAAGGGCAUGCCUGUUUGAGCGUCAUUUCUCUCUCAAACCUUCGGGUUUGGUAUUGAGUGAUACUCUUAGUCGAACUAGGCGUUUGCUUGAAAUGUAUUGGCAUGAGUGGUACUGGAUAGUGCUAUAUGACUUUCAAUGUAUUAGGUUUAUCCAACUCGUUGAAUAGUUUAAUGGUAUAUUUCUCGGUAUUCUAGGCUCGGCCUUACAAUAUAACAAACAAGUUUGACCUCAAAUCAGGUAGGACUACCCGCUGAACUUAAGCAUAUAAA